AAAUAUCAUUUUCUCUCCUCGCUGCUUGGACUUGUUGUGUUGCCUUUUCGUGCUCAGAGUCUGACUCUAGUUUAAAUAUAAUCCUUUUGUAAAGCGAUGUUCUCUCCAGCAGCCACAUCUCUCCCAGGUAAACUACGGCAACGUGACGACGUCAAUCACGUACGCGCUGUCUGCACGCAGGGCGGAAGAGGGAGCGGAAUGAGCAGUAGCUCAUUUGCAGGGUACAGAGAGAGCUGCUGUGGUUGAUCCAUGAGGAAUUUUGACCAAAGGAUUUCACAGACAUGUCAUUAAGGUGCCUGGGUGAACUGGUGGACAAGGGCGUUUGAAGGCAGCAGCAGGCACCCUGAAGAUUGCCGCUGCACCGCCGUCUUCAGUUACGGUAAUGUUGCUGAUGAGGGAGAAGUGUGUGUGUGAUGCUGUUGUGUCCUGCUGCCAUUUCCUCCGCGGAUCCUGAUGGAAACAUCAACAGUCCGGCUCAUAUUAACCCGCAGCUCGGCUCCUCGGUUGUUUCUUUAAGCAAUAACACGCGCUGCUGCUGGAGGAUCAAUCAUCGACAUGGGGUUUGAUUCUUACAGCUGCUGAGCUCUUCACUUUAAG